GGAGACAAAUUCAAGUAUUACCACAAGUAAUAAUUAACUGAAGAAAAAGACAAAACAUCUACAUAAUUACUUGAUAAACACUGAAUCAUCUUCCCCAACCCAACUAAAUAAGGCAAAUCCUAAAUUAUGUAAAGGCAGCAAUCCCUCAUUCCCUCCUAUAGUGUGUACUUUUGUCCCAAUUCAUAAGAAGAGUUUCGUUCACUUUUUAACUUGAAGUGCAUGCUAUCGUUCGUUUUCAUGUGUCAACGAAUAUUCAAACACAACAUAGUCAUUGAAUUCAAUAGCAUUGACUGAGCUAAUAAAUUCUUGCAAAAAGACAACUUCAAAUAACUGGGUUUUGCAAAGAAACCUACUAAUGAAAUUGACAACUACUUAAAACAGAUUAACAUGGAAAUUUACUCUACUGGUUUUGCUUUCAUCAUCAAUCAUAAAUAUCACAAGAUAACUUUUUUUUAUUCAAACAAAGAAAACCUGGAAAGAUUCAGCCAAGACCUACCUAAGAACACCUUCAACACAUUCAUCAAUGAAGGUGAAUGAUCGCGUUUGCAAACCAUCUCCCCACAUCUCAAAUCUGUCAGUAGAAGUGAUUGUCUUUCGACAAAAAGCAGCAGGAGCCUUCUCCCUUCCACCUGUAUGAGAAAACAACAAACUUAUUAAAUCCAAAUGUCUACAAAAACUAAAAAAAACAUUGUCUGGUAAUUUGCUCAUUAACAAAACUACAAAAGAAAAAAUUAACUUAAAACAUGCCUUUCCAUGUUCCAAAAGGGCCAUAUAUGUUAUGGAACCUCCCAAUGCGACAUUCAAUUCCAAAAUCUUUGUUAUAGUGCUUGCAUAACUCCUCUGUUGCGAGCUUCUCUAGUCCAUAUGCAUCUUGUGGCUACAAAGUCAUAAAAUUAAACACAUCAAUCUCAAUCAUCAUGUAAACAUGAAGAACCAAAAGCAAUAUUAAACAUUUAAAGGUCACAAACAAACCUCAGCUGGCCAUGCAUCAGCCUCCUUCAAGCUCACAUUAGUUUCCAACUGUUUGAAUUCAGGAUAGAUACAAGCACUAGAAGCAUAAAAAAACCUGUAAAAAGGAAAGGUUUUGGCAUGAGUAAAGUACAUCAUAUAAGUAAAACUAAGGUCACAUUGUGGAUGUUUGUUCAGUAAUUGCUCCAAAAACACAUAACUGAAAUGAUGGACAAGAUGGAUAACCUCUUAAUGCCAUUAAUCCUGGCAGCCUCAAUCAUGUUGAAACUAAUCAUUGUGUUGUUGUACAUAAUCACAGAGUGGUUGGACUGAAUAAAACCCAUCCCACCCAUAUCAGCAGCGAGAUUGAAAACAUGAUCAACCCCCUUAGUGACCUUGAGGCAGUUAUCCAUGACCCUGAGAUCAACAAGAUGAAAUUCAUCACAAAACAUGUCCUCACUCAUGUGCUCAUUUUUUUUAGUUCUCCAGCUCUGAUACACCUCCUCUGGUCCAGGAAUGUGAUGUAUAGGAAUAUUCUUGUUCUCAAAGCUGAGAACAAUCUCAGCCAUCUCAUUCAUGCUGACCAUCUCAUCACUUCCAAUAUUUACUGGCUCACGGAAGUCGGAUUUAGUCAAUCUAAAGACAAAAGUGGAGACAAAUUCAAGUAUUACCACAAGUAAUAAUUAACUGAAGAAAAAGACAAAACAUCUACAUAAUUACUUGAUAAACACUGAAUCAUCUUCCCCAACCCAACUAAAUAAGGCAAAUCCUAAAUUAUGUAAAGGCAGCAAUCCCUCAUUCCCUCCUAUAGUGUGUACUUUUGUCCCAAUUCAUAAGAAGAGUUUCGUUCACUUUUUAACUUGAAGUGCAUGCUAUCGUUCGUUUUCAUGUGUCAACGAAUAUUCAAACACAACAUAGUCAUUGAAUUCAAUAGCAUUGACUGAGCUAAUAAAUUCUUGCAAAAAGACAACUUCAAAUAACUGGGUUUUGCAAAGAAACCUACUAAUGAAAUUGACAACUACUUAAAACAGAUUAACAUGGAAAUUUACUCUACUGGUUUUGCUUUCAUCAUCAAUCAUAAAUAUCACAAGAUAACUUUUUUUUAUUCAAACAAAGAAAACCUGGAAAGAUUCAGCCAAGACCUACCUAAGAACACCUUCAACACAUUCAUCAAUGAAGGUGAAUGAUCGCGUUUGCAAACCAUCUCCCCACAUCUCAAAUCUGUCAGU
rnacentral:lncRNA from 1 species